AGGGAAUAUUGCGCAAUGGACGGAAGUCUGACGCAGCGACGCCGCGUGAGCGAUGAAGGUCUUCGGAUCGUAAAGCUCUGUCCUUGGGGAAGAAGGUCUUCGGACUUGACGGUACCCAAGAAGAAAGCCCCGGCUAACUACGUGCCAGCAGCCGCGGUAAUACGUAGGGGGCGAGCGUUGUCCGGAAUUACUGGGCGUAAAGGGUGCGUAGGCGGCCCUUUAAGUCGGAUGUGAAAGCCCGCGGCUUAACCGCGGAAUGGCAUUCGAAACUGGAGGGCUUGAGUGUCGGAGAGGGUAGUGGAAUUCCCAGUGUAGCGGUGAAAUGCGUAGAUAUUGGGAGGAACACCAGUGGCGAAGGCGACUACCUGGACGAUAACUGACGCUGAGGCACGAAAGCUAGGGGAGCAAAC
rnacentral:rRNA from 1 species